CCUGUAGUGACCCUGCCUAGGCCUUUUUUCUAUCCUACGCCAUACACUCGUUUCUGCCUAUUCAUCACAUUCCACUUAACACGCAAUUACGGCAUCAUCAUCAUUAAUCACCAUGACGAUCAUCAGCAUCAAAACACUGCUGUUCCCACAUGACAUUUCCUCUCCUUUGAUCAUCUGUCGUCACCUUGCCUCUCCCAACCUAUGCAUUGUUUUCUUAGCGUCAUUCAAUUAUAUUUACAACAAUCAGUUUAGUAUAUAUGUAUGUAGAUAGAUUCAUUUAAUUGAGUUACGAUAACCCCAGUUAAAGUCAA